UUGAAUGUCCCAGCGUCUCUUAGAUUCAUUCCCUCAGCAGACAGGUGGGAUCUAAAAAAGGAACAGGAGGUGAAAUCUAAAGAAGAGCCGUGAACAACAGAACAGAGGAGACAGGAAGCAGCACAGAGGACACAGACAGGAUGAGGCUGAAUGAACAGACCGACAACGAGAGAGAAGAAGAAAAGAUGAGAGACAAGUGUCAAUGCUGAGACCUCAAAGCAAACAGAGGAGUCCAUUUAAAG